ACUUUAAUUGAAGAGUUUGAUCAUGGCUCAGAUUGAACGCUGGCGGCAGGCCUAACACAUGCAAGUCGAGCGGAAACGGCAGUAUUGAAGC
rnacentral:rRNA from 2 species